AUACCUUGGUGCGGACAUACAACCAUCAUUCCUUUUAAAACGCUCCCAUGUCUCAUGUAGUGUCUCCAUUGGUUUCUGUUUAAACCUCAAAAUUUCAUCAAUUUGU
rfam:Nicotiana attenuata strain TT chromosome 12, whole genome shotgun sequence.